rnacentral:misc_RNA from 1 species
AACGCACAUUGCGCCCUUUAGUAUUCUGAGGGGCAUGCCUGUUCGAGCGUCAUUAUCACUAAUCAAGCCCGGCUUGCUGUUGGACCUCUUUGCCGUUAAUAGGCAGGUCCUAAAGAUAAUGACGGUGUCAUUUAGACCCUAGGUGCAACGAGCUUUAACUAGCACGCAUUUUUAGUUGGUCUUUUUGACCCGGUCUUUUUUAACCACUUUUUAAGGUUGACCUCGGAUCAGGUAGGAAUACCCGCUGAACUUAA